AUGUUAUUUUGUGGAAUAGGUCUGAGCAGUACUGGAGAAGUGGAACUUGGGAUGAUAAUGCAAAAAUUUUCAGCUUGGUCCCUGAAAUGACACUAAAUUAUAUCUACAAUUUCAGCUAUGUGUCGAAUGAAAACGAGAGCUAUUUCACCUACAAUGUGAAAGAUAGCACUUACACAUCUCGAUUCAUUAUGGAUUUUUCAGGACAGGUUAAGCAGAUGAAUUGGUUGCCUACCAACUCUUGGUUUCUGUUUUGGUCCCAACCAAGACAGCAAUGCGAGGUUUAUGCUUUUUGUGGUCAAUUUAGCACCUGCAAUGAGCAAACUGAGCGUUUUUGUUCUUGUUUGAAAGGUUUUCAACAAAAAUCGGUGAGUGACUGGAAUUUGGAAGAUUAUUCUGGUGGUUGUGUGAGGAAAACCCCGCUGCAGUGUGAAAAUAAUAGUCUUGCCAAUGGAAAAAGCGACCAAUUUUUGCAGUACAUUAACAUGAAUUUGCCUAAACAUCCACAAUCUGUGGCAGUAGGGGGUAUCAGGGAAUGUGAAACACACUGCUUGAAUAACUGCUCUUGCACUGCUUAUGCUUACAAAGACAACGCUUGCUCGAUUUGGGUAGGAAGUUUCGUGGGUCUGCAACAGCUACAAGGAGGUGGAGAUACCAUUUAUAUCAAGCUUGCCGCUUCUGAGUUCGAGAGUCCCAAGAAUAACAAGGGAGUAGUCAUUGGCAGUGUUGUGGGCUCAGUGGCUGUCGUAGCUCUUAUUGGCCUGAUCAUGCUUGUACACUUGAGAAGGAGAAAGACAGCAACUGUAACAACCAAAACUGUGGAGGGUUCUUUGGUGGCAUUUGCAUACAAGGAUUUGCAAACUGCCACAAAGAAUUUCUCUAAAAAGCUGGGGGGAGGAGGUUUUGGUUCAGUUUUCAAAGGGGUGUUGCCGAAUUCAAGUCUUAUAGCUGUGAAGAAGCUUGAAAGCUGGAGCCAAGGAGAGAAGCAAUUUCGGACUGAAGUCAGUACCAUAGGGAAUAUCCAACAUGUCAAUCUGGUUCGGCUUCUGGGUUUCUGCUCUGAAGGUACUAGUAGGUUGUUGGUCUACGAUUUCAUGCCAAACGGUUCUUUAGACUCUCAUCUCUUCACUGAAAAAGAUUCAGACUUUCUUGAUUGGAAGACAAGAUACCAAAUUGCACUGGGGACAGCCAGAGGUUUGGCUUAUCUUCAUGAGAAGUGCAGAGACUGCAUCAUACACUGUGACAUAAAGCCAGAGAACAUUCUGUUAGACGCUGAAUUUUGUCCCAAAGUGUCGGAUUUUGGGCUGGCAAAGCUUGUUGGGAGGGAGUUCAGCCGUGUCCUAACAACCAUGAGAGGAACAAGAGGUUACCUUGCACCUGAAUGGAUUUCAGGAGUGGCCAUAACAGCCAAAGCGGAUGUCUACAGCUAUGGAAUGAUGCUGUAUGAAUUUGUAUCAGGAAGGAGGAACUCCCAGGAAUCUGAAGAUGGUAAAGUGAAGUUCUUCCCAUCUUGGGCUGCUAAACAAAUAGUUGAAGGCAGCAAUCUCAUUAGCCUAUUAGACCCAAGACUGGAGGGCAACGCUGACGAAGAAGAGCUUGCAAGACUUUGCAAUGUGGCUUGUUGGUGCAUCCAAGAUGAUGAGACUCACAGGCCAUCAAUGGGUCAAGUAGUUCAAAUUCUUGAGGGAGUUUUGGACGUGACACUGCCUCCAAUUCCCAGAGCUCUCCAAGUAAUGGUCGAUGACCAUGAGCACGUAGUCUUCUUCACUGAAUCAUCCACAUCUCAGAGUUCCCUGUCAAAGAGCAACAAUUCAACUGCUUCAUCUCAAGCAAAGAGUACCACAUCAUCAAGAAGUUCUUAAAUCGAUGUGAAGAAAAUAUUUUAACAUUUGUGUUUAAGAAUAUAUAUUUGGUUUAUUUCACUUGUAACAACCUGUAUGCAUAUUUGGAUAGAAGCCUUGCUUCGUAGUGUAUAAUAAUAAUGCCCCCUGCCAAAGCAAUUUUAAGAAUCACAAGCCUUGUGCCUCGCUGUUCUCUCUAAUGAACUCUGAUUGAUCUAUGCUCCUCUGCAUUGACUAUUGGCUUCACCUAAUCGCUUCAAUUGGCAAAAUUAGGUAUUGAAAUGAAAGCGACUUGGAACUUGGAAGUUAUCCAGAAGAAGGGGAAAAACAGCAAAAACAAUCAAACAAACAAACAUAAACGUGACGUAGUAACAAAUAACAUGGGUCAAGAUAUAAAUCAACUGGCCAACAUUGUUCAAUAAACUUUUUCCAACAUCUAAACUUUUUCAACCGAACCUGAAUUUUCUUGAGAGUUUUUUUGAGGCAUCAUGAUUGGUAAGGAGCUUGAAGGCAAAGUUCAACAGUUUCAUGACAAAGUUACAACCAUCGAUGAAAAGGUUACGACCUUAGCCAAGCAAAAUAACGAUUUGCAGAAACUCAUGAAACAUCCUUCAGCAAUUGAGCCAGUUGCGAAAAGAAAAACAACCGACUACUGAUCAAAGACAAGUUGAUAUAUUUACUGGAGGGACCUCUGCUCCUCAAAUGGUAAUUGCUACCCAACCACCUCUUGAACCUGCCGAACGCAUUGGAAGUACUCUCAUGCAAGCUCGUAACAUAUGACUUGACUUUCUUAUUUUUCAUGGUGCCAAUCAAACGGGAUGGAUUUUUCGAUAUGAGCAAUAUCGUCGCCUUACUGGAUUAUCAGAUGCUGACUUAUUGUCCUUAGCUAUUGGCCAUCUUGAUGGUGAUACUGUACCUUGGUUUAAUUGGAUAGAGCAAACUAUGGGCGCAAUUUAAACGGGCUUUGACUACUCAAUUUGGGACAUUAGAAGAGAAUGAUGCAGUUGGCAGUCUUACCAAACUACGUCAAAUAGGGACCGUUCUUGACUAUCAACGACAAUUUGAAAAGUUGGCUAAUCAGACUAGAAAUUUAACUGAGUCUUUCUUUAUCAGUUGUUUCCUCUCUGGGUUGCGUGAAGAUAUCAAGGCUGGCGUACAACUGUUCAAACCUGUUAGUCUUGUACAAACUUUUGAACUUGCUAGGUUUAGUAAAAGACAAUUACUUUGCAAGGCAACUGUUCCCCUGUUCCUGCCAUCCAAGAUCUAGUCCCACAAUUACAGCCGACUCCUACUCCACCAACACCCUCUUUAUUAGGACUGAUUUCCUCUACCUUACCUAAUAAUGUCAAACGUUUAUCCUCAGCUGAGCAGACAGAAAGACGUUCUGAAGGGCUCUGUUUCAACUCUGAUGAGCAAUUCAAGCCUGAACAUCGUUGCAAACAAUCUCAACUAUUGCUUUUAGACGCUGCUAUACCUCUUCACAACCCUCCAAAACCGCCUGACCAUCAUUCGGAUUGGAAGAUCUCGAUUAUUGAGACUGGGUAAAAGGCUUUCAGACAAGCCUGUUUGAAGGGGCAGGGAAUGUUAGGACCCUAAUAAUUUAUUUUAUUACUUGUUUUAAUUUUUUUUCCUAUUAAUACUAGGUUUUCUUAUUUCAAUUAUGAAUUAAUGCUCUUAUUAAAUUACAAUUAGAACCGUCUUGAACUACUAUAAAUAAGUGGUUCUUAUUAUAUUUUUGAAGGAGCAACAAUAAAAUUAAUUCUAAUCUCAGUUAAUUCUUCUCUCUUCCCUCUGAAUUCUUAAAUUCUUCAUUUAUUUCUCCCUUAAUUCUCUAACCAAAACCUCAUAAUCCUACCAGUAACGGACUGCAUUACGUUCGAGAAGACGAUUUACACACACACAAGAUAAUAAAGGCAUUUAAAUCACCUAAUUAAGUUGUAUAGGGAUAAAUAAUUAAAUUACAAAAAGCUCGACAUAUACUGAAAAAUAAAAAAGAAAUUGAACAAAGUCAUAAAUUUAUUGACAUCUAAAUUCUGAAAAUUGGUGUGUGUCUUCAGUAGGGAAAGUUAUCAUUUACAUACGGUUAUUUUUAUUGAUAUUUAAUACCUCUAUUUUAUGUUCAAUUGGAAGGAAUUCUAGGCUGUUCAGUUUUCUACUUACGGUAUUAUCACGAUCGUUGUUAUUGAGAAAAUUGUGGCAAUUUUUUUGAUUGAUAAUGAUGAUUUUAGUACGUGGCAGGCUCGGUGAUGCUGUUAUUUCGCGGAGCAUUUGGAUGCCCGCUCUAUACUGGUGAUUUUCGCUGGGAAGCAAGUAAUCAGAGGGCCGAGAUAGGAAGGAACACGCUCGUCAAAGCUUUAAAAGAUGAUGUAGUCGACAUUCUUUAUUUGGAUAACACAUAUUGCAGUCCAUCAUAUGCUUUCUUGUUUGAGAACUUUAUAUAUCCAAACUGAUAUAUGAUAGCAGGUACACUUUUUAUAUUUUUCCUUUCUUGUUUGAGAACUUUCAGUUUCACUCCAGAAUUAUCUACUGAAUUAAAGAUUAAAAUGGGAGAUGAAAGAAAUAGUCCAGGUACUGAUUUGUAGUGUUAGUUAUCUGGAUGAAAACAGAUUGUUGACAUAAUUGCCUCCCAUCCAGAUCAUGACAUCAUCAUUGGGAUUGACUCACUUGGAAAAGAAAAACUUUUAUUUCACAUAUCGCAUAAGCUCAAUAUAAAGGUUUGCUCACCCUUUUAAUAUCGGAAAACCUUUUCUUACAUAACGAUCAUCACGAUGGUCUCUCCAAGGGGGAUGAAAUCGAUAGCAUAUAUACAGCAAAUUGACAUGUUAUCUAAUUUUUGGAUCACUUGUAGAUGAUUUAGAAGGAUUUUGAUAGUUUUUAUUCUUCUAACAUCUAAAAUAUGUUUUACUUUUUAGAAACUGGGCGGGUUAGAUUGUCAUUUGGUGGAUUUAAUUGUGGCCAAAUUCAUACAUGAAAUGUAUUGUCACACAUGUAUUAUUGGAUGCAUCCAAUUGUAUGUUCUUCCUCUUCAUGUGCCAUGAGAACUUAAAACUGCCCUCUUCAUCUCUUGCAAAAUGUUGUUUAGUCACAAGCAAGUGGAAUAAAAUUUUUGCAUUCAUUUCCAAAGCAGAUAUUUACUCUGUGUUUCUUGUUUCACAUUUCUUUUUUUUUUUAUAGAUUUGGGUGUGGCCAGAACGCCUGCAAACCAUGCAUCUGCUUGGCUUCCAUGACACAUUCACAACCAAAACUUCUCUUGCUAGAGUGCGAGCUGUUCCACGGUAUAGUUUUAGCAUUGAUACUUUAGAGAAUUUAAAUACAAUGCACCAAACCAUUGGAAUUAUGCCAUCUGGUCUUCCUUGGGUGGUUAAGCCUCUUAAAGGAGGUCCUGGUUCUCUUUUUGCUUCUUACCAAAGCAAAUGGAGAGCAACGGGUUGAACUCAGACUGAGAAACUAAAAGAAGCUUUGGGAUCAGUGGACAGGUUUCGUAAGUACAUAUAUUCAGUUCCAUAUUCUGAUCAGUCCUGCUUUGCAGGGAUAGAGGAAUUUUUAAACCGUGCCCAGCCAUCGAAUAUCAGAGGCAUCGUGUCUUCAUCGUCCUGUUAUGUUGACCCUCUUUACUACUUUGGCCACCUUUGCAGAGCAAAUCAACCAUCACUGAGGUAUAAGCAGCAACAGAGAGUGCAGCACAAAACAGUUGUAGCCGCCCAAAUGAAAUUCAUUGUUGAAAGUGGUAGAUCCACUAAGGUAGAUAGGAAACGAAGGACUGCGGAAGUAGGUAUUUUAGGAGUUCGCAUGAGUAAGGUGGAUGCCCUUAGGCGGGCCCGACGAGGUGCGAAGCUUGCUCGAAGUGAGAGUUCUGAUUAAUUAGUGUCAAAUAUCAAUAUCAGGUAAGCUUGAAAUUCUUGCGAGUAAUGUUGCCUGUAUCAGUUUGAAUUCAGAGUCUAUUGUAUGGUUGAAGAAUACAUAUGGUGGUGUAGGGUGUAAGAAAAAUAAUCUUUUAUUUAUUUAUUUAUUUAUCUUGGAUGUCUAAAGCGACGGCCUAUUAGUGCUCAUUAAAGAAAAUGGUUGUGCGAAAGCACUUCGUCUGGAUCAAUCAUUUGAUUGUUUACGCGGGAUAGUUAUAGCGACUUUUCAAACUCGUGGCCUUUAAACACAUUAUAGUUUGCAAUCGUGGUCUUUACUCUUUACUUGAUUUGCAAUGAGGUAAAGAAGUCAAAUGACGGACCAAGAUAUUAGUUGAAGAAGCCAUACUACGGAUACGUCGCACGAGGUAUAUGUAAUCCCACGACACCUGGCAAGCGGACCGAAUCCAUGCGACUAUAGUAGCAGAGUCCGAUUCUACCUGCAAUAUAGAAUGGCCGAGGUGAGCUGCAAGCUCUAAGCUCUCAUGAACAGCCAUAAGCUCUAUGUAAAGGAUCGGACGAUAACCUAGGAAUGAUCCAAAAGUGCCUAAGAGCUCUCCCCAAGAGUCACGUAAAAUGCCCCCUGAAGCAGCCAUCCCUGGGUUUCCCCUAGAGCACCCAUCCACUGUCAACUUCACCACCCCCGGAGGUGGUCGAAUCCGAGAAAUCAGCCGAAGUGGUCUCCUAUGCCGUGUAACAACACGCCAUCCGUCCACUAAUCUACUAUCCAGGACGCCGCGCAGUUGGGAUGUUUUAAAACCGAAAGCAAAGCUGGCCAGCUUAAGAUCUGAAACUACUCGAAAAAUGACCGCAUCUACAAAAAAUGCCAUUGAAUCAAAUCUGUAAGCAUUUCGGGCCUUCCACACGUGCCAGAGGAUGAAACAAGGAAGUAGAACUCAAAUAUGGUUUCGGGAAGGAGCACAGCGCCUCCAGUGGCGAAGCAGCGCAUGAGGGGAGCGUUAUCUUUACUUGAUUUGCAAUAAGGUAAAGAAGUCAAUUGGGUAAUUUUUUUCUGUGAGAGUGAAUUGCGGCAAACGUGAGCAAAUUUUGCAUCAUUGUGCAUUUUGUUGUAGAAUGAGGAGAGUCAAUUUUCCUGACUAUCUAGACGAGUCUUUAGUUGAAUCUCUCCAUGGCCAUAAGUGGCCGGCAUAGACCAAAUCCUGAAACUGGUCAUAGUCCAAUAUGCAGACCACUCUGACUAUGGUCAAGACACUGGAAAAUGGUGAACGUUAGCUAAGUUUUGAAAGUUACCAAAAUUUAAUAAUAUCAUGUUUCUGAUUUCUAAUCAUGUUUUUUAUUUUGAAGAUUUCAGUUUUGACAAUUUGACUAAAUAAAUAUGCGGGUUAAAAUUUUCAUGAUCUAAAAAAAUGUAACGAGAACUAAUAAAAUUUAUUAUUUUAUUACGGUUUAUAUCAUUUGAAAUGUUGAUUCAAUAUAAAUGAUAUGUCCGGCCUUGUGGUGGCUGGUGGGUGCAAUUUGAGAUGGUAAAAUUUUUUUAUUUUGAAGACAAGAUGUGAAUCCCAUUUAAUAUUAUUAUUAAAUUAAGCAGUAUAAAGAAGUUAAGCAACCCAAAACCAUAAAGAAGUCAAACAGGCUAGAAGCCGUAAAGAAGUCUAGAAGCCAUAAAGAAACCGAAUAUCAUAAACUAAAGAAAAGAUAAAAUAUAGAGUAAUAACAGCAGCAAAAAAACAGAGAACAGUAGCGCCACAACAGAUCUAAUACUUGUCCGUUUGUAAUCAUAUGUUUGCUGUUGUUCUUUGUUUAUUGCAGCUGCUAUUACUCUCAUUUUAGCUUUUCCUUAGCUUAUGAUCUUCGGUUUCUAUAUGGCUUCUUGGCUGCUUAACUUCUUUACGGCUUCCAGGCCGCUUGACCUCUUAACGUCUCCUAAGUGUUUGACUUCUUUAUGGUUUACCCCAAAAUGACCGAAGUGUUCCACAUUUAUGUAUUUUAAAGAGGUGCAACCUCAAGAUUGUAAUUUGUAAAGGGCAUAAUUGUCAGUUCAAUUAGCUUAGUUGACUUGGGGAAGGACUAUAACAUCGUUCUUCUUCUCUAUGUCGGUCUGUCUAGCUGUUGUCUUUCUCUUAUGAGCAAUAAAACAAUACAUGAUAUGUAAAUUAUUUUUCACUCAAGUAUCUAUCUUGAUAGCACAGAAUUUGUUGUUGUUGCAGCAGCCAUGGCAAUCAUCAAGAACAAUUCAUGGUUGAUGCUUUUUGUUCUUUUUACGUGCUUUUCACUCAAAUCCCAUGUCUCCUUCGGAGCUGACACCGUUUCUGCAAACCAAUCUCUCUCUGGCGAUCAAACGAUCGUUCAAGGCGGAUGUACGGUACAGCAGUUCCUUCACGAGAAGUUGCAGCUCAGCAGGUUCUCUUCGGUUUUAAGAAUCUCAGAUGGUAACUUAGUUCUUUUUAAUGAGUCCCAACUACCCAUUUGGUCCACAAAUUUGACCGCUACCAGCAGACGUUCUGUGGAAGCAGUUCUUUUAGAUGAAGGAAAUCUUGUUUUGAGAGAUUUGUCAAAUAAUUUGUCAAAGCCUUUAUGGCAAAGUUUUGAUCAUCCAGCUCAUACUUGGAUUCCCGGUAUGAAGCUGACGUUCAACAAGAGAAACAACGUCAGUCAACUUAUCACUUCAUGGAAGAAUAAAGAAAAUCCUGCACCGGGUCUCUUCUCCCUUGAGCGAGCACCAGAUGGAUCAAAUCAAUAUGUUAUGUUGUGGAAUAGGUCUGAGCAGUACUGGUCAAGUGGACCUUGGGAUGAGAAUGCAAAAAUUUUCAGCAUGGUCCCUGAAAUGAAUCAAAACUAUAUCUACAAUUUCAGCUAUGUGUCGAAUGAAAACGAGAGCUAUUUCACCAACAAUGUGAAAGAUAGCACUUACACAUCUCGAUUCAUUAUGGAUGUUUCAGGACAGGUUAAGCAGAUGAAUUGGUUGCCUACCAACUCUUGGUUUCUGUUUUGGUCCCAACCAAGACAGCAAUGCGAGGUUUAUGCUCUUUGUGGUCAAUUUAGCACCUGCAAUCAGCAAACUGAGCGUUUUUGUUCUUGUUUGAAAGGUUUUCAACAAAAAUCGGUGAGUGACUGGAAUUUGGAAGAUUAUUCUGGUGGUUGUGUGAGGAAAACCCCGCUGCAGUGUGAAAAUAUUAGUCCUGCCAAUAGAAAAAGCGACCAAUUUUUCCAGUACAGUAACAUGAAAUUGCCUAAACAUCCACAAUCUGUGGCAGUAGGGGGUAUCAGGGAAUGUGAAACACACUGCUUGAAUAACUGCUCUUGCACUGCUUAUGCUUACAAAGACAACGCUUGCUCGAUUUGGGUAGGAAGUUUCGUGGGUCUGCAACAGCUACAAGGAGGUGGAGAUAUCAUUUAUAUCAAGCUUGCAGCUUCUGAGUUCGAGAGUCCCAAGAACAAGAAGGGAGUAGUCAUUGGCGGUGUUGUGGGCUCAGUGGCUGUCGUAGCUCUUAUUGGCCUGAUCAUGCUUGUAUACUUGGGAAGGAGAAAGACAGCAACUGUAACAACCAAAACUGUGGAGGGUUCUUUGGUGGCAUUUGCAUGCAAGGAUUUGCAAACUGCCACAAAGAAUUUCUCUAAAAAGCUGGGGGGAGGAGGUUUUGGUUCAGUUUUCAAAGGGGUGUUUCCGAAUUCAAGUCUCAUAGCUGUGAAGAAGCUUGAAAGCUUGAGCCAAGGAGAGAAGCAAUUUCGGACUGAAGUCAGAACCAUAGGGAAUAUCCAACAUGUCAAUCUGGUUCGGCUUCUGGGUUUCUGCUCUGAAGGUACUAGUAGGUUGUUGGUCUACGAUUUCAUGCCAAACGGUUCUUUAGACUCUCAUCUCUUCACUGAAAAAGAUUCAGACUUUCUUGAUUGGAAGACAAGAUACCAAAUUGCACUGGGGACAGCCAGAGGUUUGGCUUAUCUCCAUGAGAAGUGCAGAGACUGCAUCAUACACUGUGACAUAAAGCCAGAGAACAUUCUGUUAGACGCUGAAUUUUGUCCCAAAGUGUCGGAUUUUGGGCUGGCAAAGCUUGUUGGGAGGGAGUUCAGCCGUGUCCUAACAACCAUGAGAGGAACAAGAGGUUACCUUGCACCUGAAUGGAUUUCAGGAGUGGCCAUAACAGCCAAAGCGGAUGUCUACAGCUAUGGAAUGAUGCUGUAUGAAUUUGUAUCAGGAAGGAGGAACUCCCAGGAAUCUGAAGAUGGUAAAGUGAAGUUCUUCCCAUCUUGGGCUGCUAAACAAAUAGUUGAAGGCAGCAAUCUCAUUAGCCUAUUAGACCCAAGACUGGAGGGCAACGCUGACGAAGUAGAGCUUGCAAGACUUUGCAAAGUGGCUUGUUGGUGCAUCCAAGAUGAUGAGACUCACAGGCCAUCAAUGGGUCAAGUAGUUCAAAUUCUUGAGGGAGUUUUGGACGUGACACUGCCUCCAAUUCCCAGAGCUCUCCAAGUAAUGGUCGAUGACCAUGAGCACGUAGUCUUCUUCACUGAAUCAUCCACAUCUCAGAGUUCCCUGUCAAAGAGCAACAAUUCAACUGCUUCAUCUCAAGCAAAGAGUACCACAUCAUCAAGAAGUUCUUAAAUCGAUGUGAAGAAAAUAUUUUAACAUUUGUGUUUAAGAAUAUAUAUUUGGUUUAUUUCACUUGUAACAACCUGUAUGCAUAUUUGGAUAGAAGCCUUGCUUCGUAGUGUGUAUAAUAAUAAUGGAACCUGCCAAAGCAAUUUUAAGAAUUACAAGCCUUGUGCCUCGCUGUUCUCUCUAAUGAACUCUGAUUGAUCUAUGCUCCUCUGCAUUGACUAUUGGCUUCACCUAAUCGCUUCAAUUGGCAAAAUUAGGUAUUGAAAUAAAAGUGACUUGGAACUUGGAUGUUAUCCCGAAGAAGGGGAAAAACAGAAAAACAAUCAAACAAAUAAACAUAAACGUGACGUUGUAACAAAUAAUGUUUGGUAGUAUAUGAUAUGCAUACAUAAAUCGAAAACCAUAAAAUGUAAAAUAACUAGGUUAAGUGUGGUUAACUAAUCGAGACUUAAGUCUUAAUUUCUCUUAUAAAAACUUAAGUGUUGUAUCUAAGUCCGUCGUCAAUUUAAUACUUUUAAUAUAAGUUAUUAUUUAGAAAAGAAGGUGUGUUCAAUGAAUGACUUAUUUAUGAGUGCUAAUUAGAUUAAAAUUUAGAAUUUAGGAUAAAUUUACAGAAUCAUAAAUUAAUUUAUAAUAUUAUGAAAAUUAAUUUAUGACAUCAUAAAUUUGUCCCAAAUUUUGAAUUCAAACUUUAAUUUCAGAUUGAAAAAUUUUUCUCUAUCCAUAAAGUGUUUGGUUAAGGGGAAAAAAAUCAAAAGAAAAAAAAUCUAGGUGGGUGGUAUGACGUGGGGUUUACGUUUAAUGCGUAAAACAUGAUUUUAAUGUUUAUUUCUCACGAGGCAACAUUGAGAAUAUCGGAGUUGAGUUUAACACAAUUAAUCCUUAGCAAAUAUAUUAAAGCGAUUACACUUCCUGUCUCUCGUCUCAUGCAUGUUACUGCUGAUUGCCUUUGAUAUUUUAAACCAAUUUUGAUUCACCAAAUAAUCAAUCGAUUAAUUUAUUUGCUCUAAAUUCUCAUAACUUAUCCACUACAGAUUUCCAAUGCGGACUCAAGUAUGAAGUUUUUCUAGCCUCAUAUUUGCAUUCGUAAUUAUCACGUCACAUGUACAAGAGAAUGAUUUGAUAUACAAUUGAACAGAUAUUAAUGAAUCUAGAGUAGUUUCAAAUUAGUCAUCGACAUAAUUGAUGCUAAAAUAAUUUCUAAGAGACAAAUUUUAAUCUCAAAUCCCCCAAAAAAAAGAGUAGAUAAUUAAAAAAAAAAAAGCACAAACAAUUGCAAAAAGCUAUUUUUUAUAGUUUCACUUCAGUUCACAGCCUCCUCAUAUCGAGAAACAGCUUCUGAUCAAGCUCAAACUCUUGAAACAUAUUAUUUGUUACAUAUUUUUCAUGAACCAACUGGCCAACAUUGUUGAACUGUCGAUAUUUUUAUUGACUUCAAUUGACUAACAAGUUUCCUUCUUUUCUUGAAGGAUGGCUUUGACGGCGUUUCUUGAAGGAUGACUUGGACCUCUCGUUGAUUCGCGUCCUCGAUAUUGGUUCGUGACAUUCGAUCUCCCUGAUCUCGCCGCCUUCCGGAGAGAAGACGUUUGUCAAAGUUAUCGCAAUCGACGCUUGCCAUUGUCCUGGUAAGUCAUGGUUAAGCUAACAGUAACAAUAACGGCAUUGAUAACUGUUAGAACACUAAUAGUUUAUUUUAUUACUUGUUUUAAUUCAUUUCUUCUUAGCAUUAGGUUUUUUUUUUCAAUUAUAAAUUAAUGUUUUUAUUAAAUUAUAGUUAGGACUGUCUUAAACGAUUAUAAAUAAAUAGUUUUUAUUAUAUUUUUGAGGAAAUAAUAAUAAAAUUAAUUCUAAUUUCUGUUAAUUCUUUUCUCUUCCCUCUGAAUUCUUAAAUUCAUUAUUUAUUUCUCUUUUAACUCUCUAAUCAAAACCUUAGAAUCCUACCAUCUGGUAUUAGAGCACAUCCUUCCUGCCACAAUUUUUAUUUUUCCAUUCACUAUUUUUUUUUAAAAGUCAUCAACCAAACUUUUGCCAAUAUCUCUUGGCUUUUGACUGGAGACUUAAACCGGACCCACCCUCUAAACUUUUUCCAAUAUCUAAACUUUUUCAACCGAACUUGAAUUUUCUUGAGAGUUUUUUUGAGGCAUCAUGAUUGGUAAGGAGCUUGAAGGCAAAGUUCAACAGUUUCAUGACAAAGUUACAACCAUCGAUGAAAAGGUUACGACCUUAGCCAAGCAAAAUAACGAUCUGCAGGAACUCAUGAACGACAUCCUUCAGCAAUUGAGCCAGUUGCGAAAAGGAAAACAACCGACUACUGAUCAAAGACAAGUUGAUAUAUUUACUGGAGGGACCUCUGCUCCUCAAAUGGUAAUUGCUAUCCAACCACCUCUUGAACCUGCCGAACGCAUUGGAAGUACUCUCAUGCAAGCUCGUAACAUAUGACUUGACUUUCCUAUUUUUCACGGUGACAAUCGAACGGGAUGGAUUUUUCGAUAUGAGCAAUAUCGUUGCCUUACUGGAUUAUCAAAUGUUGACUUAUUGUGCUUAGCUAUUGGCCAUCUUGAUGGUGAUACUGUACCUUGGUUUCAUUGGAUAGAGCAAACUAUGGGCGAAAUGACUUGGGCGCAAUUUAAAUGGGCUUUCACUACUCAAUUUGGGACAUUAGAAGAGAAUGAUGCAGUUGGCAGUCUUACCAAAUUACAUCAAAUAGGGACAGUUCUUGACUAUCAACGACAAUUUCAAAAGUUGACCGAUCAGACUAGCAAUUUAACUGAGUCUUUCUUCAUCAGUUGUUUCCUUUAUGGGUUACAUGAAGAUAUCAAGGCUGGCGUACAACUGUUCAAACCUGUUAGUCUCGUACAAACUUUUGAACUUGCUAGGUUUAGUAAAAGACAAUUACUUUGCAAGGCAACUGUUCCCCCGUUCCCGCCAUCCAAGAUCUAGUCCCACAAUUACAGUUGACUCCUACUCCACCAGCAGCAGACAGAAAGACGUUCUAAAGGGCUUUGUUUCAACUGUGACGAGCAAUUUAAGCCUGGGCAUUGUUGCAAACAAUCUCAACUAAUGCUUUUAGACGUUGAUAUAACUCUUCACAACCCUCCAAAACCGCCUGACCAUCAUUCAGAUUGGAAGAUCUCGAUUAUUGAGACUAGGUAAAAGGCUUGCAGACAAGCCUGUUUUAAUGGGCAGGGAAUGUUAGGACCCUAAUAAUUUAUUUUAUUGCUUGUUUUAAUUUUUUUCCUAUUAAUAUUAGGUUUUCUUAUUUCAAUUAUGAAUUAAUGCUCUUAUUAAAUUAUAAUUAGGACCGUCUUGAACUACUAUAAAUAAGUGGUUCUUAUUAUAGUUUUGAGGGAGCAACAAUAAAAUUAAUUCUAAUCUCAUUUAAUUCUUCUCUCUUCCCUCCGAAUUCUUAAAUUCUUCAUCUAUUUCUCCCCUAAUUCUCUGACCAAAACCUCAUAAUCCUACUAGUAACGGACUGCAUUACGUUCGAGAAGACAAUUUACACACACACAAGAUAAUAAAGGCAUUUAAAUCACCCAAUUAAGUUGUAUAGCGAUAAAUAAUUAAAUUACAAAAAGCUCGACAUAUACUGAAAAAUAAAAAAGAAAUUCAACAAAGUCAUAAAUUUAUUGACAUCUGAAUUCUGAAAAUAUGGUGUGUGUCUUCAGUUGGGAAAGUUAUAAUUUGCAUACGGUUAUUUUUAUUGAUAUUUAAUACCUCUAUUUUAUGUUCAAUUGGAAGGAAUUCUAGGCAGUUCAAUUUUCUACUUACGGUAUUAUCACGAUCGUUGUUAUUGAGAAAAUUUUGGCAAUUUUUUUGAUUGAUCAUGAUGAUUUUAGUACGUGGCAGGCUCGGUGAUGUUGUUAUUUCGCGGAGCAUUUGGAUGCUUGCUCUAUACUGGUGAUUUUCGCUGGGAAGCAAGUAAUAAGAGGGCUGAGAUAGGAAGGAACACGCUCGUCAAAGCUUUAAAAGAUGAUGUAGUCGACAUUCUUUAUUUGGAUAACACAUAUUGCAGUCCAUCAUAUGCUUUUGCUUCAGGAGAAGUUGCAGCUCAGCAGGUACACUUUUUAUAUUUUUCCUUUCUUGUUUGAGAACUUUCAGUUUCACUCCAGAAUUAUCUACUGAAUUAAAGAUUAAAAUGGGAGAUGAAAGAAAUAGUCCAGGUACUGAUUUGUAGUGUUAGUUAUCUGGAUGAAAACAGAUUGUUGACAUAAUUGCCUCCCAUCCAGAUCAUGACAUCAUCAUUGGGAUUGACUCACUUGGAAAAGAAAAACUUUUAUUUCACAUAUCGCAUAAGCUCAAUAUAAAGGUUUGCUCACCCUUUUAAUAUCGGAAAACCUUUUCUUACAUAACGAUCAUCACGAUGGUCUCUCCAAGGGGGAUGAAAUCGAUAGCAUAUAUACAGCAAAUUGACAUGUUAUCUAAUUUUUGGAUCACUUGUAGAUGAUUUAGGAGUAUCUUGAUAGUUUUUAUUCUUCUAACAUCUAACAUAUGUUUUACAUUUUAGAAACUGGGCGGGUUAGAUUGUCCUUUGGUGGAUUUAAUUGUGGCCAAAUUCAUACAUGAAAUGUAUUGUCACACAUGUAUUAUUGGAUGCAUCCAAUUGUAUGUUCUUCCUCUUCAUGUGCCAUGAGAACUUAAAACUGCCCUCUUCAUCUCUUGCAAAUUGUUGUUUAGUCACAAGCAAGUGGAAUAAAAAUUUUUGCAUUUAUUUCCAAAGCAGAUAUUUACUCUGUAUUUCUUGUUUCACAUUUUUUUUAUAGAUUUGGGUGUGGCCAGAACGCCUGCAAACCAUGCAUCUGCUUGGCUUCCAUGACAUAUUCACAACCAAAACUUCUCUUACUAGAGUGCGAGUUGUUCCACGGUAUAGUUUUAGCAUUGAUACUUUAGAGAGUUUAAAUACAAUGCACCCAACGAUUGGAAUUAUGCCAUCUGGUCUUCCUUGGGUGGUUAAGUCUCUUAAAGGAGGUAGUAGUCUUCCUGGUUUUCUUUUUCCUUCUUACCAAAGCAAAUGGAGAGCAACGGGUGGAACUCACACUGAGAAACUGAAAGAAGCUUUAGGCGGGCCCGACGAGGUGCGAAGCUUGCUCGAAGUGAGAGUUCUGAUUGAUUAGGGUCAAAUAUCGAUAUCAGUUAAGCUUGAAAUUCUUGCAAGUAAUGUUACUUGUAUCGGUUUGAAUUCAGAGUCUAUUGUAUGGUUGAAGAAUACAUAUGAUGGUGUAGGGUGUAAGUAAUAUAAUCCUUUUAUUUAUUUAUUUAUCUUGGAUGUCUAAAGCGACGGCCUAUUAGUGCUCAUUAAGGAAAAUGGUUGUGUGAAAGCACUUCGUCUGGAUCAGUCAUUUGACUGUUUACGCCUGGAUCAGUCAUUUGAUUGUUUACGCGGGAUAGGUAUAGUGGCUUUUUGGUUUAGAUUAUUAUAGUUGUUUUCAAACUCGUGGCCUUUAAACACAUUAUAGUUUGACAAUCAUGGUCUUUACUUGAUUUGCAAUAAGGUAAAGAAGUCAAAUGGGUAAUUAUUUUCUGUGAGAGUGAAUUGCGGCAAACAUGAGCAAUUUUUGCAUCAUUGUGCAUUUUGUUGUAGAAUGAGGAGAGUCAACUUUCCUGACCAUCUAGAUGAACCCUUAGUUGAAUCUCUCCAUGGCCAUAAGUGGGCGGCAUAGACCAAAUCCUGAAACUAGUCAUGGUCUAAUAUGCAAACCACUCUGACUAUGGCCAAGACACUGGAAAAUGGUGAAUGUUAACUUAGUUUUGAAAGUUAUCAAAUUUAAUAAAACAAAUCAAAUUUAUAAAGUUUUAAAAGUUAUCAAAAUUUAAUAAAACAAAUCAAAUUUAUAAAGUUUUAAAAGUUAUCAAAAUUUAAUAAAACAAAUCAAAUUUAUAAAGUUUUAAAAGUUAUCAAAAUUUAAUAAAACAAAUCAAAUUUAUAAAGUUUUAAAAGUUAUCAAAAUUUAAUAAAACAAAUCAAAUUUAUAAAGUUUUAAAAGUUAUCAAAAUUUAAUAAAACAAAUCAAAUUUAUAAAGUUUUGAAAGUUAUCAAAAUUUAAUAAAAAAAAUCAAAUUUAUAAUUAGGGGUCCAGCUACGGUGCCCCUUUGGGCACGGUGUCCCCUUCUUUUGUCAUUAUCCAGGCUAGCCGUUAGAUUAUAAUGACUUUAAUCCAACGUUUCGGAUUUUGAAACUGUACAAUGAUGUGAAGUGGGCAACUGUCCAAUCCCGAUAUACUAAUACUAUUGUAGCUCUAAAUAAGAAGUAAUAAGAUUAUUAACACUAUAAGGUUAAUGGAAGGAAAAUCUAUCUAAGCCUGAAAUGAUACAAACUACAUAUGUUCGAAUUUAUGGUAGCUGAAAAAUCUUUCAUGAUUUGUUCUACUCCUUGAUCACAUAAGUGGGUUGAAUUAAUUUAUAUAUUUGAAAUUAGGUGGUUGAAUAACGAUGGCAUGACCAUAUGGAUUCAAUUUCUUGAUGGACCAAUAACCUUGUUUCGACUGAAAUCAAUACGUGCAAGUAGUCAAUUUGACAGUUGACAUAAACUGUGCUUUUGAAUUGCAAUGGAACAUAAAUGAACAAGCUUUCAUCUAGCUUUACAGAGUGUGAACUAAAUGGUGUAGCAAAUAUAAAUGAAAGAAGAAGGAGCCCGAGGGGUGGAGGCGUUAAGAACUUAAAUAGCAGGUUUUAUUCUGUCGAAAUACUACAAGCACAUUUGUAAUAUUCAAAAGAUGCUGCAACUGUAGUUCUUAGUAUUUCGAGUCAGAAAACUAAGCUUCAAUAUCAUGACAUAACAAAAUAUACAAUAAAAAUUGCACGGACAUAAUAAUUGUCAUAUUUCCAUAACAACGUUACCAAGUCCGUAAAAGCUAGGAAUAACAAAACACAUAAAAAUAGUUUCAUAUUAGAGAAUAUCUGAAUUUACAGAGCAUAGAUUAUGUCUAAAUUUCCUGGUUGGUUGAGUUUCUUCGAUGAUCUUGUUCGAAAGCUAAUACCAUUCGUUUCUAAAAUGUACCUCACAGUAUCAAUCAUCUCAAUUAAACUGCCACAAAGUUUCCUCUUUAGCCUACCACAGUUGUAGCAAACUACCAAAACCCAUUUGACAAGCAGCCACUCUUUGUUCAUCUAUCAGCUACGAAACUGCUGCCGCUAAUCUAUCUGGGGCGAAUCUAGUCAAGAACUUUGCCUUUGCCACUUCUGACUUCACUAUUUGUUCGCAUUCAAUUUGUAUUAACAUUUUCUCUCCGGUGGUAAAUCCUUAAACGUGGAUCCAAUUUCCAUCUAGUACACAAUCAUGGCAGAUAAACUAACUACAUCUCCACUAAUUGAAAAUACAAAUUUAUUUUAUCUUUAUAGUGCAACUUUACAUACCUCUUCUGUAAUGCAAGUCAUUCCAUCGCUUGCCUUAACCUCAUGCACGGCUUCACUGCUGCAAUAUCAUCAUAUGACUGCAAAAUUAUACAUCUCUAUAAUUUUUAAUGAACUAAGCUUACAAAUAUCUUAUGAACCCAUUAUGGCAUUUCCUUUUUCUUCUUCCUUCAAUACUUUGAUCGUCACCAACCUCUUUAACACCGCCAUCAAUCUCACACGAUUUAUGCUUAUUACUUCCCACCAACUUAAUUUAUGAAAUUCAGUGAUACAUUUAUUUAUUAUAAUCAAACUAAAGUUCAUAGCAACAUAAAGUUUACAUUCCUAGUCCAGCACAAAACAAACAAAAAAAUUGGGGAAAAAAAUAAACAAAGGAGAUCUGGAACGAAGGUAAAGCAUGUAUCAUUUUCCUGUUCCUAAUUUUAAAAAUGUUCAUUGUAAAACUUAAUAACACCCAAGCUAACUGGAACUAAUUGUUACGGAUUCAAAUAUCAUUUUAAUACAUGGAAUUACUAAGAUGAAUAUUAUGACAAAAAAAUCCUUUACAUUAUUACAUUGUUGAGAAAAUAUCCAUAACUUUAUUUUAAAAUAUUUGUGCACCCCAAUUUUGCCAUUAUCCUUAUGAGAUCUAGCUUCCCACCAACCAUAUUAUGAACAACAAAUGAUUCACAUCACAAAUCUCAUAUUAAAAUUACACUUACCUUAAAUUUGGUAUAUGCAAUCCUUUCUGUUUCAUUCAAUACUGCUAUAACAAACUACAAGUCACUGCACUCCACUUCAAAAAUUUGACACGACAUCAUUGCUCCAAUUACAGUUAUACAGAAUUAAGAAAAUAUUCCUGCUUUAAAAAUUUCGCCAAUGUCUGUUGAAAUACAACCAAGGGUAUGUAGAGGGUCCAGCUACAAUAUCCAUGGGGUUUGGUACCCCAUUUUUUGUUUUUUUCAAACCUACCGUUAGAUUUAACGUAAGUGCAUAAUGGCUGAGAUGUGAUUAUUGAGUUAUUAACAUCAAAGACCCUUAUUGUUCAUGUAAAAUAAAAAAAAAUCAAAAGUUUUGAAAUUAUGACAUAUAAGUCAAUAAUAUUCUCUUUUUUUUUUAACUCUAUUGAAAUAUGUUUCCAAUUAAAUGACUUAUUCUUAUAUUUAUUAGUAUCUAUUUAAAUUAAUAAAUUUAUUAAUUAAUAAAUUAACUACUUUAUUAUAUAAUUAAACUAUGUAUAUUAUUUAUUAAGGGUUAUUUUUAGAGACCUCCCCUGAGGUUUGGUGUAUUGACAGUCUGAUAGAAAGUAUUCACGUAAUUACAGGGACCUCCCCUGACGGUACUACAUGGUUAACUUGACUGUUAGUGGACUAACGAAAAGCCAAAAAUGCCCUGAGCCUAAAAAAUGCUUUGGCAGUUAACAAUUUCUUUAAUGAUAGUAACUACAGUUUGGCGUUAAACAUCACACUAAAACACUAAAAAGUCUAAACUGACCAUUUAAAACAAAUCAUUGACAUUACAUAAUAUUAAAAAAAGGAGAAAAAUAUAAAUUGACAAAAUCAACAAAGCUAUCAAUGUAGUGAAUAUUUACAGCAACAAUGGUUGUAAAUACAGCCAUUGUCAAGUUAAAAUCACCAUUACAACCAUUGCUUCUUUAACUUUCAUCUCACAAUUUCUUCCUUCAUCAUUCAACAUCUCAAAAGCUCAAUAAUUAGUAAGCUGCUUCAAUAAAACAAUAAACAAACCAUAAUUCACUUUUCAAUGCAUUCAAAAUACACAACGAAUAUUCCUUAGCCAUUUAAAUUGAAGCCAAAGAAGAAAAGAAAAGAAAAAAAAUCUUCCUUUGUUAUUCCAAGUUUCACACCACUAGCCAUAUGAAGAAGGCAGACUAAAGCGUAAGAAAAUGCUACUGCCACAGCAAAAGUCUAGACCAAUUGGGUAAUGAUACCUGCCAUGCCAAUUUCAAGGCAAGCAAAAAUCAAUUAUCAUCCCCAGACCAAAAUACCAGCAAACCUACCUUUUGAAUUUAAAUAAUAAGUAAAUAAAUCAAAGAUUUCAACUCAUUUAAGUUUGAAAUCAAUUAAAAUAGCCAAAAAGAAAAAAAAAAUUCGUCCAACAUAACUUAUCCAGCAAUUUCUUCAACACAUAAUUUCAUUCUUAAUCAUCACAACAAUUAAAAAAGAAAAACAAUGAGCCCAAGUGAUUGAUCUUGCCAUAAUGUACUCCUACCAGCAACCGAAGUCGAGCAUACAUACGACGAUCUUCGUGCGUGAAUAGCCGGGAGGAAAGAAAGGGCGGUAGAUGAUAAUGAAAAAGAUGCGAUCGAGUUUGCUGUAGAAAUUUCUACUCUCCGAUUAGACCCAAAGCUUGUUCAAAAGGGUCUCCUUUUCCUCCGUUGAGAUCAAAUCCCUACCGACGAGCUGCCAACAACUAACAAGGGUCACUACGAAUAGCUAACAACUGCUUUGCUACUACUGGCUCACUCUGAACGAGAUUCCGAUCCCCUGUCUCGUGAGCAAAGCCUUCGAUUCCUUCACGUAGGCCGAGACGGAUUGGUUCAAAAGCUUCUCCAGAGCUUUUCAACCUUGAAAAUGGUUGUGGGUUUCGUUUAAUGAGAGAGAAAAUAGUGUUUUGGUUCUUUGAUUUUUUUUUUAAUUUAUGAAAUCACUAAUUUACCCUCAUAUACUAACAUAUACGAAAACGUGUACUAACGUUAGGGGAAGUCUCUGUAAUUACACAAAUACUUUCUAUCAGAUUGUCAAUACACUAAAACUCAAGGGAGAUCCUUAAAAAUAACUCUAUUUACUAACUAUAAUUAAUAAUAACAAUAAAUAUAAAUAUGAUCUUUUUUUAAUUUAAUAUAACGACAACUAAUUUCUUUUGACGUAUGUGAAUAAAGUUCAAAACCCAUAAUUUUUUUUUCCGCCAGACGGUGACCCUUGUGGGUCUAUCAACAAUUCAAAGAUUGCACAACUUGAUUGUCCGUUUCCAAUCACUCAUUUCUUUCUCUCUGGCCAACCAAACGCGUAAAACUGAUUAACGUUGUUGAUGGAGUUUUAAAUAUGAUCAAAUGGCUGUGAUUGUUUGUAGGCUUGGUCCUAUAAAGCUCAAUCGACCUACAAGCCAAUAAAAAAAAUUAAUUGAAAUUGCUAGCACUAGCCGCAACUGGGCCCCAUUCACAUUACGAGGUUCACCUCCUCUAGAACUUGUACAGGUGGACAUGGUUACAAACUAUUGCUUUUGUAGAAACAAUCCAAGUUGAUGUCUAGGGUGGAUAUUAAAAUCUUGCUGACGUGGCUGAAUCUGUUAUAUUGGUUUAAGAAUUACUACAUGCAUGUGUAACAGCUUAUUAACAAGGAAUUGACACUUGUUAUAUAUGUGUGUAAAAUACAUUGAUUCAAUAAUAAGAAGUUUUCAGUUUAUCAAUAUUUUCUUUCUCUUCCGUUUAACUUUCUCGUUUACCAAAUACAACAUUUGGUUUUCUUUCACAAAGUGUCGGAUUUUGGGCUGGCAAAGCUUGUUGGGAGGGAGUUCAGCCGUGUCCUAACAACCAUGAGAGGAACAAGAGGUUACCUUGCACCUGAAUGGAUAUCAGGAGUGGCCAUAACAGCCAAAGCGGAUGUCUACAGCUGCGGAAUGAUGCUGUUUGAAUUUGUAUCGGGAAGGAGGAACUCUGAGGAAUUUGAAGAUGGUAAAGUGAGGUUCUUCCCAUCUUGGGCUGCUAAACAAAUAGUUGAAGGCAGCAAUCUCAUUAGCCUAUUAGACCCAAGACUGGAGGGCAACGCAUAGGAAGAAGAGCUUGCAAGACUUUGCAAAGUGGCUUGUUGGUGCAUCCAAGAUGAUGAAACUCACAGGCCAUCAAUGGGUCAAGUAGGUCAAAUUCUUGAGGGAGUUUUGGACGUGACACUGCCUCCAAUUCCCAGAGCUCUCCAAGUAAUGGUCGAAUCAAAGAGCAACAAUUCAACUGCUUCAUCUCAAGCAAAGAGCACCACAUUAUCAAGAAGUUCUUAAAUCGAUGUGAAGAAAAUAUUUUAACAUUUGUGUUUAAGAAUAUAUAUUUGGUUUAUUUCACUUGUAACAACCUGUAUGCAUAUUUGGAUAGAAGCCUUGCUUCGUAGUGUGUAUAAUAAUAAUGGAACCUGCCAAAGCAAUUUUAAGAAUUACAAGCCUUGUGCCUCGCUGUUCUCUCUAAUGAACUCUGAUUGAUCUAUGCUCCUCUGCGUUGACUUUUGGCUUCACCUAAUCGCUUCAAUUGUCAAAAUUAGGUAUUGAAAUGAAAGCGAAAUGCCAAAAGCAACUUGGAACUUGGAUGUUAUCCAGAAGAAGGGGAAAAACAGCAGAAACAAUCAAACAUAAACGUGACGUUGUAAUAAAUAACAUCGGUCAAGAUAUGAAUCAACUGGCCAACAUUGUUGAAUUGUCCAUAUUUUGAUUGACUUCAAUUGACUAACAAGUUUCCUACUUUUUUUGAAGGAUGGCUUUGACGGCGAUUCUUGAAGGAUGGCUUUGACGGCUUACGUAGCACAAAUAAUUUAUGUUGGACGUUUAAAUAAUCCAUCAGAAAAAAAUUAUGGAAACCGAACUUCGUCCCUUUGCUUUCUUUAUUCCUAAAUAACAAUUUAGCACUCCUGAACUUCAUUGAACUUCAUCCUCCAUUUUUUUUGCUUUCUUUAUUCCUAAAUAACAAUUUAGCACUCCUGAACUUCAUCCUCCAUUUUUUUUAAUUUCUACUUGUCAUAAACUGAAACCUAAUAAAAUAAUUUUGGUUGAAACCAUCAUAUUUGACAGUAUGAGCACAACGACAGUGAUUACUAACUGUUUCUGCUUAGGCCCGCCAUACCCAACCCUCAAUUUCUCCCUUAAGUCUUGAUAAAUAGACCAUCUGCUGUUCAUAAACAUCAUCUUGUCUGCACAGAAAUUUUCCAGCAGCCAUGGAUGUCAAGAACAAGGUAUGGUUCAUGCUCUGUGUUCUCUCCGUAUGCUUCACUCUCAAACCUCAUUUAUCCUUUGCUGCUCGUGACUCCAUCUCUGCAAACCAAUCUCUCUCUGGGGAUCAAACUAUUGUCUCUGCUGGUGGGGUCUUUGAACUAGGCUUCUUCAAGCCAGGUAACUCUUCAAACUACUACAUAGGCAUUUGGUUCAAAAAGUUGUCAGAACAAACCAUAGUUUGGGUGGCAAAUAGAGACAAACCAGUUUCCGAUAAAAACUCCUCAGUGUUAAGAAUAUCCGAUGGUAAUUUAGUUCUUUUAAAUGAGUCUAAAACGCCCAUCUGGUCCACAAGUUUGAACUCUAGUAAUACAACAGCUUCAAUCGAAGCAGUUGUUCUAGAUGAAGGUAAUUUUGUUUUGAGAGAUUCUUCAGCUAAUUCAACCUUAUGGCAAAGCUUUGAUCAUCCGACUCAUACAUGGCUUCCCGGAAUGAAGUUUGGAAUAAACAAACGGGCAAAAGUAAACCAAUUUCUCAUCUCAUGGAAGAAUAAAGAGGAUCCUGCACCGGGUCUCUUUUCGCUUGAGCUAGCCCCAGAUGGAUCGGAUCAAUAUGUUAUAAUGUGGAAUAGGUCUGAACAAUACUGGAAUAGUGGAGUCUGGACUGGAAUAAAUUUUGCCAAUGUUCCGGAAAUGAUAUCUCAUCAUAAUUUCGACUUCAACUACAUUUCGGAUGAAAAUGGGAGAUAUUUCGUUUAUUCUGUUACUAAUUCUAUGACAACUCGUUUUGUUAUUGAUUCUUCAGGGCAGAUUGAGCAGAUGUUUUGGUUGGAGUCUAGCAAGGCUUGGUUUCAGUUCUGGUCGCAACCAAGGCAACCUUGUGAUGUUUAUGCUUAUUGUGGCGCAUUUGGCAGCUGUAAUGAGGGAAACCAGUCUUUCUGUGCUUGUCUGCCAGGUUUUAGGCCAAAAUGGGAGAACAAUUGGAACUUGAUGCAGGAUUAUUCUUCUGGCUGUGUGAGGAAAACCCAACUGCAGUGUGAAAAUACUGUUGUUACAAAUGGAAAGAGUGACAAGUUUUUAGCAAAUUCUCACAUGGUAUUGCCUAAACAUCCACAAUCUGUGGCAGUUUUUGUGGAAGCAUGAAAUGAUCUAGCUGAUAUAUAACUCAUCCCUGGUAUCUUCACCCCACCAUAUGGUUGAGAGCAUACCCAAGUUGGCUGUCCAUGAGAAGAAAAAUCAGAAUAAGAAUGCAGGCAGGAUGCACCAUGGGUAAAACCAUGCUGGCUACUGCAAGUUUUCUGCGCCAUAUAAGGAUUCUUGUAACAUUUCAAUUCAAAUGGCACCUCUAAAACUUCUUUCUUACAUAAACAAGACUUGUUAUGAGGCCUCAAGAAAUUAUGCCCCUGACAUUCCAGUCCUUUCUUGCUUCUGCAAUAAUUUUGAGGGUUAAAGGAUCCCUUUGUUUUCAAUUUCUGUUCUUCAUAUUCAUCCAAUUCACAAGUGGCUACUUGACUUCAUUGGGACACAUGUCGAUCAAGUCUCCUAUUUAAUCUCUGAUGAGCAACCCAUCGAGAGGACUCAACCAACACCUUCUCUGCUGUACCGUACAUCCGCCUUGGCCGUGCUUGUCUGCCAGGUUUUAGGCCAAAAUGGGAGAACAAUUGGAACUUGAUGCAGGAUUAUUCUUCUGGCUGUGUGAGGAAAACCCAACUGCAGUGUGAAAAUACUGUUGUUACAAAUGGAAAGAGUGACAAGUUUUUAGCAAAUUCUCACAUGGUAUUGCCUAAACAUCCACAAUCUGUGGCAGGAGGGAGUAUCAAGGAAUGUGAAAAAACCUGCUCGAGGAACUGCUCUUGCACUGCUUAUGCUUAUGAAGACAAUGCUUGUUCAAUAUGGAUUGGAAGUCUCUUGAGUCUGCAUCAACUUUCACCAGGCGACGCAAAUGGGAAAACUAUUCAUGUCAAGCUUGCAGCUUCGGAGUUUUCAAGUUCCAGUAAUAACAAGGGAACAGUCAUUGGUGCUGUCGUGGGUUCAGUGUCAUUUGUAGCUCUAUUAGGCCUUCUUGCUUUUAUGUAUUUCAGGAAGAGAGAGAAUACAAUGAAAACAAGCAAAUCAGUGGAGGAUGGUUCGUUGGUGGCAUUUGCAUACAAGGAUUUGCUAACAGCCACAAAGAAUUUCUCUGAAAAAUUGGGGGGAGGAGGUUUUGGUUCUGUUUUCAAAGGGAGGCUGCCUAAUUCAAGUGUCAUAGCUGUGAAGAAGCUGCAGAGCUUCAGCCAAGGAGAGAAACAAUUCAGAGCAGAAGUCAGCACAAUAGGGAACAUCCAACAUGUCAAUCUAGUUAGGCUUCGUGGAUUCUGCUCUGAAGGUACAAAAAAAUUAUUGGUCUAUGAUUACAUGCCAAAUGGAUCCCUAGAUUCGCACAUCUUCCAUAGAGAGAAUUCAAAGGUUCUUGAUUGGGAAACAAGAUACCAAAUUGCACUAGGGACAGCCAGAGGAUUGGCUUAUCUCCACGAGAAGUGCAGAGACUGCAUCAUACACUGCGACAUAAAGCCAGAGAACAUUCUAUUAGAUGUUCAAUGGUGUCCAAAAGUGGCAGAUUUUGGCAUGUCAAAGCUUGUUGGGAGAGAAUUCAGCAGAGUCCUAACGACCAUUAGAGGAACAAGAGGGUAUCUCGCACCAGAAUGGCUUUCAGGAGUGGCCAUAACAGCAAAAGCUGAUGUUUACAGCUAUGGAAUGAUGCUCUUUGAAAUUGUUUCAGGAAGGAGAAACUUUGAAUGGAACUCUGUAUACUCUGAAGAUGAAGAAAUGAAAUACUUCCCAACUUGGGCAGCAAGCCUAAUGAGUGAAGGUGGCAAUGUGCUUAGCCUUUUAGACAAAAGACUUGAGGGUAGUGCUGAUGUAGAAGAGCUUUCAAGGAUUUGCAAAGUUGCUUGUUGGUGUAUCCAAGAUGAUGAAACUCAUAGGCCAUCAAUUGGUCAAGUGGUUCAAAUACUUGAGGGGGUUUUGGAAGUGACUCAGUCUCCAAUUCCAAGAUCCCUUAAAGUAAUCGCAGAUAACAAGGAGGAUAUAAUCUUCUUCACCGAGUCAUCUGAGACUUCAGGUGCUUCAUCUCAAGCUAAGUUCGCUGGAUCAUCAGCAAGUUCCUAAAUCCUUACCAAGAUAAUCAAUUUUAUUUGAGUAGUAUUUGUUAUUUCUGUUUUUUGGAUUUGGGUGGUGUUUUGUUAUUUCUGUUUGACUAUAGUCUUGAAUUUAUUGCCCUUAUUUGAGUACUAUUAUCCUAGAUAGUCUACUAUACAUAUAUGGUAUUAAUCUAUAUUAUUUUCAUAUGGUUUGAACUUCGUAUGUCGUAGCAUAAUGUUUAUCAAAAUCUCGUGUCUGCAAGUUGUUUAUUUUCUAGCUGUUAAUAAUGUCCACUCGAAUGAUAACAAUUUAUCUACCUGUUAAUAUAUGAUUUUAAUAUAUGUUUAUAUGCAGAACACAACAUAACAGAACCAACCAUUUGAAAUUUCAUUUCAGUUGGACGAGUAAUCUAAAGUCGAAUUUCACUGUCAUCAAUGGUGAAACAAAGAGUCCAGUUCAUACUUCAGAGUCGUUGCAAAUUAAUUAAAAUGACUAGAAGAUUGGAAUGAUUAGCGAAAUAGACAAACUGAAUUGAUAAGAUAAACAAAUAGAUAGAAUAAAACUAAAACUAUGUACUGAAAACAUCCGAAUUUGUUGCAGUGUAUUGCAGCACCAAUUUCAUUUGGGCCAAGAAUGUACAAAGAAGCAAAAUCUUGACGAGUUAUGUUCGAUAAAGUUCAAUGCAGUUAAAUGAAAAAACUGAAACUAACCCCUCUGUAUAUUCCAGUUUCUAUUCUGUUUCCAAUGCACCGCAAAAACUUAUACGCAGUAAUGAGACUGCAGUAGCACAUUACAAAAUGAUACAUCUGCAUGUCCCCUAUAAUAUCUGUUCAUGCUAAGUAACCCAAAUCUGCAAUGGUAAUUGGUUGAAGAAAAGAGGGUACUAAUCGUAUUAUAAUACUGAAUAUGGUCAGCUUAGUAUUAUUUAUGGGAACUGAAAAACUCAUAGUCUUUGUGUCGAUUGACUACCUUGAUGCCAUCCGUCCAAACACAACCUCUAGCAAAAAGAGACGCAUUUUCCUCUAGUAUUCUGAGCUGUUCCCGAAGAAUUUCAGAACGGUCAAAAAGUGAAGAGUCUUUGAAAGAGGAUUCUUCAGGUACUUUGAGAUCAAACCAGCUUUCUGCCUGCAGGUAUAAAGCUUGUGAAGUGCUGUACCACAGCUCUGAUCAAUAUCCAGAGAAGAAUUAUAGCUUAUCUCAAAAUGAGUGAAAUUAUUAAAAUAUAUAUAUGUAUAGCUCAUUUCUAUAAUCCAUUGGGUUCAUAGUCUUAGAUAUCCUGAUAAGAAUUCCAACCCACUGCUUCUACAUAUACCCAGACAUUGAACACAAUUUGGUUUAUUUAUUUCUUAACAACAUCAUGGUCGUGAUUCAAAGUUCAAAACAUGAAUUUCAAGGAUUAUGAUAUCUAUGUGGCACGUGUGUCAAGUUUAGUAAAACUUAAAUCUCCAUGGGAAUUCGAUGAAAAUCGACAAGCUCCUUCUUAGUCAUAGGUCCGGGCGGCAAAGCUUAUUCAGUUUUGACUUUGGAUACCUGACUGCCUGAACAAUUGAUUAAGGACGAACCUAUACUAUGCACGUCGGAUAGUAGCAGCAGAACCACUCAAAAUAGGCAGAAGAUUGCAAUCUAAACCAAUAUAUGACAAGGGUAGAACAUAUAGAGCUUAAACUUUACCUGUGCCUUGUAGCUUAGCAAUCCCACUACAGGGGAGACAACACAGAGUGUUUUCUUUUUGAGGGUAUCAGUUGGCACAUCUCUCAUAACCAUAUGUCCUAGCGAAUGAUAAGUCAAGAAAGCUGCACCAAAUUUCCCUUCGGGAAUUCGAAAUAUAGGAUACCAAGCCACUGAAAACCUAAAACCAAUUUAUUCAGGUUGUAAUAAGAAUGUCACAGAUUGGUUCCCCCCACCCCAAAAAAUAAGUAAAUAAAUGAAAGCACCAUGUGGUGACUGAUUCUCACCAGGAUGCAAGAUGUAGAUCAUUCAGCUUCAAAGAUUUCAACUUUGAUAUGUCACCAAAUACUUGAAGAUAAGAAGCUUCAGCAUCAAAAAGAUCCAGAAUUCUGCAAUUAGUAAUUAGUUAAGAUCAAUCCAGAUACAUCUUAACACCCCAUUUCAAAUAAAAAUGAUGAGGGUUUCAAUGAAUUGUAAACAGAAUGAGAAGAAAGAGUUCAACGAAAAAAAGCCUACAUGAUUAGCGGUGAUUGGAAAUGGAUAACUAUGAGUGAGUACGAAUUAAGAUAACAAGAUAAAAAGAAGACACAACUACAGCAGUGAGGACAAAACAUGUCAAACCUUCAACUAGGGCAAUGGUUGGGCACACCACACAAGAAAAGCUGAAACGGAACUACAAAUCAACCUUGUAGAAUCAUCAUUUUCAUGUACGACUUUUAUGAAUUCUGUAAAUAUGGCAAUGUAAGUUUUGAGGUAAGAAAGCAGAACUCUCAAUGCACAUGGUACAAUAACCUACAGCAAUAUCUUAAAUACUCCAAGAUGCAAUUUCUUCAAGUUAAUGAAUAAACUACAGAUUAAAUACCAUGUGAGAGAAAUAUGUCAGACUCAAGUUUAGAAAAAUAGUUCUAAUAGCAUCCACUAUAAAUAAUUGAUUGUAUAUCAACCUAGCAAUUUGAUUUAGCUACGGCCUGAUGAUUAUAAUUUUCAAUACAGCAAGCGAAAGAUAAAGGCUAGUGGCGAAAUUUACUUAUUAUGAAGAGGCCUUCGCAGCCAAGGUUUCUCAGUUUCAAAAAAUUCAAAUAAAAGUUCACAAUUACUGGAGCGAUCAGGUGAUGGAGUGAAACUCUGGGAGUGGCCUUCAGGACAGAAAGCUUUAUAUGAAUUGACACUCUCUUCAAUCGAGCCAAAUUUCAGCUCUGGGGCCAAAAGAUUUUUUCCCUCUAAUGCUGUUGAGCUAUUUCUGAUAUACAUGUCAGAGUUGGAGCGCUCUUCACUUGUACCACAAGAAUUAGAUAGAUAUGUGUAGCCAAACAAUUGAACAGCUGAAAGACAAGGAACAAAAUGAGCAUCAAACGAUGCUGAUUCAGUAAGCCGCCCUUUUAGUUUCUGAGAAUGACUUUUAGUCCAUAAUUCCCUGGCUCCUCGUACCAGUUCCAAACAGAAAAAAGUGAUGUAUUAGGUAUCUGGUGCUUACACAAGGAGCUAUCAGACAACUGAUCACCCAAACACAAAGAACAUUUUCCGUGUUGAUAUAAUGAGGCAAUAGCAGGAGCAGCGGAGUGGAGGAAUCUUUCGAACUCCGCAAGUGGACAUCCUGUUUCUAGCUCAAAACCCUCAGAUACUAGUUGCAUUUUGUAAGCAGCAUUUAGGGGAUCUGUUACCAUUAAGCCAACGAUAAGCUGUUGAACAUCUUUCAAAUUUUGCACAUAUUUCAUUCUAAUUUCAGCACUCUUGAUGUGAUGGACUUCUGUUGUGGUACACUGACUGUCAGAAUUUGGAGCUUCAGUUUCAACUAGAUUCAAACUGCUGCUACCAAUUAAGUGUGUACUUUUAAAUUUGCUUAACAUGGCAGAUGCACGAUGAUCAAUUACAUUUCCCCCCGAACGGCCAUCCUUCUCUACUUCAUGUAAAAGUCGCAAGUCGCCAUUACAAACAUGACAGAUACCGGCAGAACCAGUUUUUUCUGAAAUACUUGACCCCUUAGUGCCGACAGCAACCCACUUCUUUGCAUUCAUUCUAGAAGUAACAUCUUUUAUGAAUUGGUUUUCAUUAAAUUGUUCAAAUUUUACGCAUGAUUCACUUUUUGUGGAAGCAUGAAAUGAUCUAGCUGAUACGUAACUCAUCCCUGGUAUCUUCACCCCACCGUAUGGUUGAGAGCAUACCCAAGUUGGCUGUCCAUGAGAAGAAAAAUCAGAAUAAGAAUGCAGGCAGGAUGCACCAUGGGUAAAACCAUGCUGGCUACUGCAAGUUUUCUGCGCCAUAUAAGGAUUCUUGUAACAUUUCAAUUCAAAUGGCACCUCUAAAACUUCUUUCUUACAUAAACAAGACUUGUUAUGAGGCCUCAAGAAAUUAUGCCCCUGACAUUCCAGUCCUUUCUUGCUUCUGCAAUAAUUUUGAGGGUUAAAGGAUCCCUUUGUUUUCAAUUUCUGUUCUUCAUAUUCAUCCAAUUCACAAGUGGCUACUUGACUUCAUUGGGACACAUGUCGAUCAAGUCUCCUAUUUAAUCUCUGAUGAGCAACCCAUCGAGAGGACUCAACCAACACCUUCUGGUGGAUUCUCACAUCUGUUUUUGUCUUGUUAUUUCCUGCAUUUGCUACACCAAUGUGCCUAGAAGAUUCAAUUGUUGGAGUGGGCAGCAAUCCUUUACCAAAAAAUGAGUUGUGCUCGACAAAAAGGUUCUUCUGAAGCAUACUUGCAUCUCCCUGUAGAUAAUUGCGUUGCAAUUUGUUACCCUCACUGGUUUGUGUUUCCCUUACAUUCCUCUGCUUCUUCCGCCAGACUGAUUGGCUAUUUUCCUUCCCUGUCAUGAUAUGUUGGUGAUUUCUAGUCUUAUGGACAGCAUCAAGUUCAGAUGCCAAGUUGUGGCUCUUAAAUCCAUUUCUUUCUCUGAUAGCAUGAGAACUGUUACAGACAUCACACCCUUGCUUAUUCAAUCCAGAUACAUCUUAACACCCCAUUUCAAAUAAAAAUGAUGAGGGUUUCAAUGAAUUGUAAACAGAAUGAGAAGAAAGAGUUCAACGAAAAAAAGCCUACAUGAUUAGCGGUGAUUGGAAAUGGAUAACUAUGAGUGAGUACGAAUUAAGAUAACAAGAUAAAAAGAAGACACAACUACAGCAGUGAGGACAAAACAUGUCAAACCUUCAACUAGGGCAAUGGUUGGGCACACCACACAAGAAAAGCUGAAACGGAACUACAAAUCAACCUUGUAGAAUCAUCAUUUUCAUGUACGACUUUUAUGAAUUCUGUAAAUAUGGCAAUGUAAGUUUUGAGGUAAGAAAGCAGAACUCUCAAUGCACAUGGUACAAUAACCUACAGCAAUAUCUUAAAUACUCCAAGAUGCAAUUUCUUCAAGUUAAUGAAUAAACUACAGAUUAAAUACCAUGUGAGAGAAAUAUGUCAGACUCAAGUUUAGAAAAAUAGUUCUAAUAGCAUCCACUAUAAAUAAUUGAUUGUAUAUCAACCUAGCAAUUUGAUUUAGCUACGGCCUGAUGAUUAUAAUUUUCAAUACAGCAAGCGAAAGAUAAAGGCUAGUGGCGAAAUUUACUUAUUAUGAAGAGGCCUUCGCAGCCAAGGUUUCUCAGUUUCAAAAAAUUCAAAUAAAAGUUCACAAUUACUGGAGCGAUCAGGUGAUGGAGUGAAACUCUGGGAGUGGCCUUCAGGACAGAAAGCUUUAUAUGAAUUGACACUCUCUUCAAUCGAGCCAAAUUUCAGCUCUGGGGCCAAAAGAUUUUUUCCCUCUAAUGCUGUUGAGCUAUUUCUGAUAUACAUGUCAGAGUUGGAGCGCUCUUCACUUGUACCACAAGAAUUAGAUAGAUAUGUGUAGCCAAACAAUUGAACAGCUGAAAGACAAGGAACAAAAUGAGCAUCAAACGAUGCUGAUUCAGUAAGCCGCCCUUUUAGUUUCUGAGAAUGACUUUUAGUCCAUAAUUCCCUGGCUCCUCGUACCAGUUCCAAACAGAAAAAAGUGAUGUAUUAGGUAUCUGGUGCUUACACAAGGAGCUAUCAGACAACUGAUCACCCAAACACAAAGAACAUUUUCCGUGUUGAUAUAAUGAGGCAAUAGCAGGAGCAGCGGAGUGGAGGAAUCUUUCGAACUCCGCAAGUGGACAUCCUGUUUCUAGCUCAAAACCCUCAGAUACUAGUUGCAUUUUGUAAGCAGCAUUUAGGGGAUCUGUUACCAUUAAGCCAACGAUAAGCUGUUGAACAUCUUUCAAAUUUUGCACAUAUUUCAUUCUAAUUUCAGCACUCUUGAUGUGAUGGACUUCUGUUGUGGUACACUGACUGUCAGAAUUUGGAGCUUCAGUUUCAACUAGAUUCAAACUGCUGCUACCAAUUAAGUGUGUACUUUUAAAUUUGCUUAACAUGGCAGAUGCACGAUGAUCAAUUACAUUUCCCCCCAAAUGGCCAUCCUUCUCUACUUCAUGUAAAAGUGGCAAGUCGCCAUUACGAACAUGACAGAUACCAGCAGAACCAGUUUUUUCUGAAAUACUUGACCCCUUAGUGCCAACAGCAACCCGCUUCUUUGCAUUCAUUCUAGAAGUAACAUCUUUUAUGAAUUGGUUUUCAUUAAAUUGUUCAAAUUUUACGCAUGAUUCACUUUUUGUGGAAGCAUGAAAUGAUCUAGCUGAUACGUAACUCAUCCCUGGUAUCUUCACCCCACCGUAUGGUUGAGAGCAUACCCAAGUUGGCUGUCCAUGAGAAGAAAAAUCAGAAUAAGAAUGCAGGCAGGAUGCACCAUGGGUAAAACCAUGCUGGCUACUGCAAGUUUUCUGCGCCAUAUAAGGAUUCUUGUAACAUUUCAAUUCAAAUGGCACCUCUAAAACUUCUUUCUUACAUAAACAAGACUUGUUAUGAGGCCUCAAGAAAUUAUGCCCCUGACAUUCCAGUCCUUUCUUGCUUCUGCAAUAAUUUUGAGGGUUAAAGGAUCCCUUUGUUUUCAAUUUCUGUUCUUCAUAUUCAUCCAAUUCACAAGUGGCUACUUGACUUCAUUGGGACACAUGUCGAUCAAGUCUCCUAUUUAAUCUCUGAUGAGCAACCCAUCGAGAGGACUCAACCAACACCUUCUGGUGGAUUCUCACAUCUGUUUUUGUCUUGUUAUUUCCUGCAUUUGCUACACCAAUGUGCCUAGAAGAUUCAAUUGUUGGAGUGGGCAGCAAUCCUUUACCAAAAAAUGAGUUGUGCUCGACAAAAAGGUUCUUCUGAAGCAUACUUGCAUCUCCCUGUAGAUAAUUGCGUUGCAAUUUGUUACCCUCACUGGUUUGUGUUUCCCUUACAUUCCUCUGCUUCUUCCGCCAGACUGAUUGGCUAUUUUCCUUCCCUGUCAUGAUAUGUUGGUGAUUUCUAGUCUUAUGGACAGCAUCAAGUUCAGAUGCCAAGUUGUGGCUCUUAAAUCCAUUUCUUUCUCUGAUAGCAUGAGAACUGUUACAGACAUCACACCCUUGCUUAUUCUCAUCUGGAACUUUACAGCAAGUUCUACUAUUGCAGUUUUGAAUAUUCAGAUCUUCAGAACACAGUUUCACUUGUAUUUCACAUAGAGAAGUUGAAUUGACCAGUGGGGUAUCUUUUUCCAAGCCCUUUUCACAGUUUAUAGCAGGAUUGAGUAUAUCCUCCAUAAUUGAUGAAGAAGAUGACUUUGCAUCAAUAACAUCAUAUUUACUUUCUCCUGCCAUAGAAACAAUCUUAUCGGAGAUCUUUUUACUUGAAUAAGUUCUCUUUUGUUGUUCUUCUUUUUCUUUCUAAAAUGUUUCUUGAACUUCGGAUCAUCAGUAAUUGAAUCCACUUUGCUGUUUACCUGCUUAUCACUAAAACCAAGAGUAUCUGAUUGGAAAGAUCCAGCACAUCUUGACUUCUCAUUACACACAACAUCUGGUACAGCUAGAUCUCCGUACGGCUUCAAAGCCUCAGAGAUCCAGAUGUCACCAAGAACUGCACAACCUAAAGAGCUUGACGAACUACAGAUACCAUUUCCCCGUUCUAUAUGUUGAACUAAUGCCCCUGAAACUUCCAUCUCUAGAACAUUUAUCAAUUUAAAGAUUUUCAGUCCUUAUCUAAAUCAACACCAGAAAACAAAGCCUGCAAUGGGAAAUGAACAAGUUAAAGAAAAGAGGCACGAUCAAGUUCAAAAUGAAAUCAAAUCCUACUAGAGACAGAUAACAUGUUAACAAUAAAGUCAACAGAAUUUGAAUGAAACAAGAAUCCACUCCAGCCUGUCAAAUAUUAAAGCAACAGAAAAGCAAAGAACCAAAAGAGCAUCUCAUUUAUCAUAUGAACCAAAGAUUGGAUAAAGUUAGUAAAAAUAAUUGGAAUAAAAUGAUAUGAACAAGCACUCAAACCAAAUAUACUCAUAUGACCCUAAAAUUUGCAUUUUAGUUAAUAAGAUACUAAAAUGAAUUUAACUAACUACCUAACAGUACAAGCACACAUCUCAUGAAACAAACCAAUUUAUCAGGGCAUUUGCGUACAUACAAAAGUCCAAAUAUCUCUUUAAAUCAAACCCACCUAAUUUUUACCAACAAAAGUUAUUUUUCUUGACCUAAUAUAACUCAAGGGUAAAACUAAAUAUGACCCCAAGAAAUAACCCAAACCAUGUAAUUUAUUCAAAUGCACGUUUUCAAGUACUUCUCAGACAGUUAUUUAAUUCAUCUGCUACCCAGAAAAAAAAAAUGAAAGUAGAAAAAAAGAACAAGAACAAGAAAAAGAAUGCCACUUUACCAAGUGCAGGUGAUGGGUUCUUGUGACUGCUCAAAGAACCCAGAAAAUAUAAUUAAAAGGAAAUAUCCAUGUUCCUUUAACCAAAUUAAGAAACAUACAAAGAAAACGACAAUUUUUGAAACAAGAAACGUGAAUAAUACUGAUCAAAUUAUGACACCCGUAUUGAAUUUAGAUCAAACAAAAAGAUUAAACAGAAAAAAAAAGGAAAAGAUAAAAGAAAAAGAAAGUACCUGAGAGACAAAAUGAGAAGCGCGCCAGAAGCCAAAAUAUGAAAAAUGGGUUUUUGGGGUUGACUUUUGAGUCUGUUUCAAUUUUUAUUUAACGGAUUUCUUGAAAUUGCUAGGAAAUAUUCUCUUUUUUAGAGUGUGGAGUAGGCAUAUCACAGUUGAUGAGGUCGAAUCUCUCUCUAUGGGCGCCAUGUGUCUAAUACGUAUGAUGAUAACACAAGCAAAAUACCAUAAUGGAUGGAUUAUGGGCAGCCCGCGGAAUUGUCUGUUUUACCCCGCUAUUGUAACCAUCCAGGAGGAUCCGUUUUAAUAUGUUUUUUUGCUACACUUUAAAUAUUCCAAUAAAUUAAUUAAUUCAUGUUUAUAAACAGUGUUAUGGAAAAUAAGGGAGAUGGUGAAUAAAUAAUAUUAUAAGUUUUUUAAAAAGUUACAUAAAUAAAAUUAAUAGUUUUUUAAAUAAAAAAUUAUUUCUAAAGAAACAUGAAUUACUGCCAAGUAGCAUGUGAAUAAACAUUUAAUUAUUCAAAAAAGAAUGAUUAUGUACUCUUUGAUGUAUGUUACGACGUUAAUUGGUGAGAAUGAAAUAUUGUACAAUAAAUUAUCUUAGAAAUUUAUUAAAGUAUACUAUGUACCAAUGAAUGUUAUUUUUUCCAAUGAAAAUUUUGGGAUGAUAAAUUGAUAAUAUUAGGGAUAGGACUAUUUGAGCUCUAAAAAUUAUUUUAAAUACUCUAUUAUUCUAUAGAUUUGUGUACUAUGAACUCUCGACUUUCUUCCAAUAGUUAGUAGUGUGAAAGUGGUGUAAUGAGGGAGUGAUGUGGUGUCUUAAUUACUCUCCCGUUUAGCUCUUUGUUAAUGUUUUUUAGGUCUGCUGUUUUAAAUUUGUGAAGUUUUUUAUAUUGUCGCUAUUUUCCAUUAUUGUUAUUGGUGGUCUAUAUGAUGGAUACGAUGGAAUUAGCGAAACUUUGUGGCUCUUUAACUUUGCGUGACAAAGCAAGUACGAUUUUGUCUCAGAUGCUGUCCAAAAGCGAAGGGAGGCAAUGGCAGUGAAUUACUUGAUUAGUAAGAUAUUAACGAAGCAGGUGAUUUCCAAAGAUGCCUUCACUAAGAAUUUUCCAGUGAUUUGAAGAACAUUCAGGGAGUUAAGAUCAAAUGUUUAGAGAAGAAUGUAUUCUUGUUCUGUUUUAGCUGACGAGUUCUUUUGUUGGCCCAUGGCAUUUUGAUAGGACAUUGGUUGUUCUCACUCCAUUGCAAGGUAAUGGUGAUUUGACUGUGGAAUGUUCUGACAAAGUGAUAUUUUGGGUGUAAAUUUAUAACGUGCCCUUAUUGUAUAUAUUAAAAGAGAUAACUGAACUUCAACUGAGUAUACAUGGAACGAUGGAGAAAAUAAAUAUGAGAUCAUCUGGUGAUUGUAUGAGAAAGUAUCUGAAAGUCUAUGUUACUUUUGAUAUUGUGUUACCUUUGAUAUUUCUUAUUCGUUAAAACGGAAUUUACGUGUGAAAUUCCAUUCAUUGGAUCUUAAAUGUGUGUUUGGUACAAUAUGAGAAGUAGUUAAAUUUUUAUUUUCACUGUGAUAGGAUAAGACAUAUAUUUCAUAAGUGUGAGGUGCAUGAGUUAGCAUGGGCAGAGGAUGGCUCCCACACCACUCUUCUGUUUGGGAAUUGGAUGAGAAUGACUGUUGGUGCUUUCGUCAAACGGCUAAAAAAUCCACUAAUGGUCAAGGCUAAUACAAAGAGUGGCAGUGAGGAGUUGAAUGCAUCGUUGAUGACACCAAAUAAGCCGGAUACAGUUAUUAAUGGUGUGAAAAUUUUGGAUGAAUUUCAAAAUGUGAGUGAUUUAAAUUUUGAAAGCGCUAAUGUUGCAGACAAGGGAGCUUUUCCUUAGCUUAUGAUCUUUGGUUUCUAUAUGGCUUCUUGGCUGCUUAACUUCUUUACGGCUUCUAGGCCGCUUGACCUCUUUACGGCUCCUAAGUGUUCGACUUCUUUAUGGUUUCUUGGUUGCUUUACUUCUUUAUGCUCUGCUUCCUUGAUGCCUCUAUGUUUCUUUUUCCCUUUCUUUUCCUUCUCGUCUGCGCCUCCAUUUCGUUCCUACAUAUUUUGACAGCACAGAAUUUUUGGUUGUUGCAGCGGCCAUGGAAAUCAUCAAGAACAAUUCAUGGUUGAUGCUUUUUGUUCUUUUCACGUGCUUCUCACUCAAAUCCCAUGUCUCCUUCGGAGCUGACACCAUUUCUGCAAACCAAUCUCUCUCUGGUGAUCAAACGAUCGUUUCUAAAGGUGGGGUCUUUGCAUUUGGUUUCUUCAACCCAGCUCCUGGUAAGUCUUCAAACUAUUACAUAGGCAUGUGGUACAAUAAAGUCUCUGAAAGAACUAUAGUUUGGGUAGCCAACAGAGAACAGCCAGUUUCUGAUAGAUUCUCUUCGGUUUUAAGAAUCUCAGAUGGUAACUUAAUUCUUUUUAAUGAGUCCCAACAACCCAUUUGGUCCACAAUUUUGACCGCUACCAGCAGACGUUCUGUGGUAGCAGUUCUUUUAGAUGAAGGAAAUCUUGUUUUGAGAGAUUUGUCAAAUAAUUUGUCGGAGCCGUUAUGGCGAAGUUUUGAUCAUCCAGCUCAUACUCGGAUUCCCGGUAUGAAGCUGACGUUCAACAAGAGAAACAACGUCAGUCAACUUCUCACUUCAUGGAAGAAUAAAGAAAAUUCUGCACCGGGUCUCUUCUCCCUUGAGCUAGCACCAGAUGCAUCAAAUCAAAAUGCUAUUUUGUGGAAUAGGUCUGAGCAGUACUGGAGAAGUGGACCUUGGGAUGAUAAUGCAAAAAUUUUCAGCUUGGUCCCUGAAAUGACACUAAAUUAUAUCUACAAUUUCAGCUAUGUGUCGAAUGAAAACGAGAGCUAUUUCACCAACAAUGUGAAAGAUAGCACUUACACAUCUCGAUUCAUUAUGGAUGUUUCAGGACAGGUUAAGCAGAUGAAUUGGUUGCCUACCAACUCUUGGUUUCUGUUUUGGUCCCAACCAAGACAGCAAUGCAAGGGUUAUGCUUUUUGUGGUCAAUUUAGCACCUGCAAUGAGCAAACUGAGCGUUUUUGUUCUUGUUUGAAAGGUUUUCAACAAAAAUCGGUGAGUGACUGGAAUUUGGAAGAUUAUUCUGGUGCCCGCUGCAGUGUGAAAAUAAUAGUCUUGCCAAUGGAAAAAGCGACCAAUUUUUCCAGUACAGUAACAUGAAAUUGCCUAAACAUCCACAAUCUGUGGCAGUAGGGGGUAUCAGGGAAUGUGAAACACACUGCUUGAAUAACUGCUCUUGCACUGCUUAUGCUUACAAAGACAACGCUUGCUCGAUUUGGGUAGGAAGUUUCGUGGGUCUGCAACAGCUACAAGGAGGUGGAGAUACCAUUUAUAUCAAGCUUGCAGCUUCUGAGUUCUCGAGUCCCAAGAAUAAACAGGGAGUAUUCAUUGGCAGUGUUGUGGGCACAGUGGCUGUCGUAGCUCUUAUUGGCCUGAUCAUGCUUGUAUACUUGAGAAGGAGAAAGACAGCAACUGUAACAACCAAAACUGUGGAGGGUUCUUUGGUGGCAUUUGCAUGCAAGGAUUUGCAAACUGCCACAAAGAAUUUCUCUGAAAAGCUGGAGGGAGGAGGUUUUGGUUCAGUUUUCAAAGGGGUGUUGCCGAAUUCAAGUCUCAUAGCUGUGAAGAAGCUUGAAAGCUGGAGCCAAGGAGAGAAGCAAUUUCGGACUGAAGUCAGUACCAUAGGGAAUAUCCAACAUGUCAAUCUGGUUCGGCUUCUGGGUUUCUGCUCUGAACUAGUAGGUUGUUGGUCUACGAUUUCAUGCCAAACGGUUCUUUAGACUCUCAUCUCUUCACUGAAAAAGAUUCAGACUUUCAUGAUUGGAAGACAAGAUACCAAAAUUCAAUGGGGACAGCCAGAGGUUUGGCUUAUCUCCAUGAGAAGUGCAGAGACUGCAUCAUACACUGUGACAUAAAGCCAGAGAACAUUCUGUUAGAUGCUGAAUUUUGUCCCAAAGUGUCGGAUUUUGGGCUCGCAAAGCUUGUUGGGAGGGAGUUCAGCCGUGUCCUAACAACCAUGAGAGGAACAAGAGGUUACCUUGCACCUGAAUGGAUUUCAGGAGUGGCCAUAACAGCCAAAGCGGAUGUCUACAGCUACGGAAUGUUGCUGUUUGAAUUUGUAUCAGGAAGGAGGAGCUCGGAGGAAUCUGAAGAUGGUAAAGUGAAGUUCUUCCCAUCUUGGGCUGCUAAACGAAUAGUUGAAGGCAGCAAUCUCGUUAGCCUCUUAGACCCAAGACUGGAGGGCAACGCUGACGAAGAAGAGCUUGCAAGACUUUGCAAAGUGGCUUGUUAGUGCAUCCAAGAUGAUGAGACUCACAGGCCAUCAAUGUGUCAAGUAGUUCAAAUUCUUGAGGGAGUUUUGGACGUGGCACUGCCUCCAAUUCCCAGAGCUCUCCAAGUAAUGAUCGACAACCAUGAGCACGUAGUCUUCUUCACUAUCUCAGAGUUUUUUUAAUCAAAGAGCAACAAUUCAACUGCUUCAUCUCAAGCAAAGAGCACCACAUCAUCAAGAAGUUCUUAAAUCGGUGUGAAGAAAAUAUUUUCACAUUUGUGUUUUAAGAAUAUGUAUUUGGCUAAUUUCACUUGUAACAACCUGUAUGCAUACUUGGAUAGAAGCCUUGCUUCGUAGUGUAUAAUAAUAAUGCAACCUGCCAAAGCAAUUUUAAGAAUCACAAGCCUUUUGCCUCGCUGUUCUCUCUAAUGAACUCUGAUUGAUCUAUGCUCCCCUGCAUUGACUAUUGGUUUCACCUAAUCGCUUCAAUUGUCAAAAUUAGGUAUUGAAAUGAAAGUUAUCCAGAAGAAGGGGAAAAACAGCGAAAUCAAUCAAACAAACAAACAAACUUAAACGCGACGUUGUAAUAAAUAACAUGGGUCAAGAUAUGAAUCAACUGGCCAACAUUGUUGAAUUGUCCGUAUUUUUAUCGACUUCAAUUGGCUAACAAGUUUCCUUCUUUUCUUGAAGGAUGGCUUUGACGGCUUACGUAACAAAUAAUUUACGUUAGACUUUUAAAUAGUCCAUCUGAAAAAAAUUUUGUGACACGGUUGACAGUAUAAGCACAACGACAGUGAUUACUAACUGUUUCUGCUUAGGCCCGCCACACCCACCUCCAAUUUCUCCCUUAUGUCUUUGAUAAAUAGACCAUCUGUUGUUCAUAAACAACAUCUUGUCUGCACAGAAGUUUUCCAGCAGCCAUGGAUGUCAAGAAAAAUGUAUGGUUCAUGCUCUGUGUUCUCUCCAUAUGCUUCACUCUCAAACAUCAUUUAUCCUCUGCUGCUCGUGACUCCAUCUCUGCAAACCAAUUUCUCUCUGGGGAUCAAACUAUUGUCUCUGCUGGUGGGGUCUUUGAACUAGGCUUCUUCAAGCCAGGUAACUCUUCAAACUACUACAUAGGCAUUUGGUACAAAAAGUUGUCAGAACAAACCAUAGUUUGGGUGGCAAAUAGAGACAAACCAGUUUCCGAUAAAAACUCCUCAGUGUUAAGAAUAUCCGAUGGUAAUUUAGUUCUUUUAAAUGAGUCUAAAACGCCCAUCUGGUCCACAAGUUUGAACGCUAGUAAUACAACAGCUUCAAUCGAAGCAGUUGUUCUAGAUGAAGGUAAUCUUGUUUUGAGAGAUUCUUCAGCUAAUUCAACCUUAUGGCAAAGUUUUGAUCAUCCGACUCAUACAUGGCUUCCCGGAAUGAAGUUUGGAAUAAACAAACGGGCAAAAGUAAACCAAUUUCUCAUCUCAUGGAAGAAUAAGGAGGAUCCUGCACCGGGUCUCUUUUCGCUUGAGCUAGCCCCAGAUGGAUCGGAUCAAUAUGUUAUAAUGUGGAAUAGGUCUGAACAAUACUGGAAUAGUGGAGUCUGGACUGGAAUAAAUUUUGCCAACGUUCCGGAAAUGAUAUCUCGUCAAUAUGUCGACUUCAACUACAUUUCGGAUGAAAAUGGGAGGUAUUUCGUUUAUUCUGUUACUAAUUCUAUGACAAUGCGCUUUGUUAUUGAUUCAUCAGGGCAGAUUGAGGUUAUGUUUUGGUUGGAGUCUAGCAAGGCUUGGUUUCAGUUCUGGUCGCAACCAAGGCAACCUUGUGAUGUUUAUGCUUAUUGUGGCGCAUUUGGCAGAUGUAAUGAGGGAAACCAGUCUUUCUGUGCUUGUCUGCCAGGUUUUAGGCCAAAAUGGGAGAACAAUUGGAACUUGAUGCAGGAUUAUUCUUCUGGCUGUGUGAGGAAAACCC
rnacentral:lncRNA from 1 species